rnacentral:rRNA from 1 species
UUGGAGGGCAAGUCUGGUGCCAGCAGCCGCGGUAAUUCCAGCUCCAAUAGCGUAUAUUAAAGUUGUUGCAGUUAAAAAGCUCGUAGUUGAAUUUCGGGAUUAGCAGGUCGGUCGUGCCACUGGUACGUACUGGUCUUGCUGAUUCCUCCCUCUUGACGAGCCGUAAUGCCAUUAAUUUGGUGUUGCGGGGAAUCAGGACUGUUACUUUGAAAAAAUUAGAGUGUUUAAAGCAGGCAUGCGCUUGAAUACAUUAGCAUGGAAUAAUGAAAUAGGACGUUCGAUCUUAUUUUGUUGGUUUCUAGGAUUGACGUAAUGAUUAAUAGGGAUAGUUGGGGGCAUUAGUAUUCAAUUGUCAGGGGUGAAAUUCUUGGAUUUAUUGAAGACUAACUACUGCGAAAGCAUUUGCCAAGGAUGUUUUCAUUAAUCAAGAACGAAAGUUAGGGGAUCGAAGACGAUCAGAUACCGUCGUAGUCUUAACCAUAAACUAUGCCGACUAGGGAUCGGAUGAUGUUAAUUUUUUAAUGACUCAUUCGGCGCCUUACGGGAAAC